CUAAAGAACAGACCGGGAUCUACGCGAAGGUGAGAAGUCAGUCAUCUUUCUGCCUAUGCGCUGUAUAAAAAAGAUCACCUAUGGACCUCUAGUGAAGCCAAGAUACUCUGAAGGCAUGGACAACUACUGAUGAUUCCUCCAAUACCGAGCAGAUAAGUACUGCACAUUGACUAUCCUCCAGCCUCAGAUGCUGAAUUCCUGACCACCAUCUGUCAGAUCCUCCUCUUCUUCAGAAAGCUGAUUGUCAUCUAUUAGCACUUUUUCUCCUCCAAGAUGCUGAUAAACAUCUCAGCACCAGUCUGUCUUCUCCCGUAUGCUGACUAACAUCUCAGCACUUACAUAGUGGUGAUCAACAUCUCAGCACCUACAUAGUGCUGAUCAACAUCUCAGCACCUGUCAUCUACAGAAUGCUGACCACCUUCUCAGCACACUUUUCACCCAGAAAGCUGAUCAUCCUCUAUCAGCUCUUCUCUUCUACUGCUGAGCAUCAUCUAUACCACAUUCUCCACAAAGCUGUCCACCACCUAUCACCAUCUCCAAAAGCUGACCACCAUCUGUCAGCACCCUUCUUCAAAAGAUUUACCAUCAGCUCAGCUUUAUCUAGUGUCAUCAUUGAGGAAGCUGAGCAUAAGCUAUAAGUACCUGUUCAUACCAUCCUGCA